rnacentral:tRNA from 1 species
UAUUUAAAUAGUUUAAGAAAAAUAUUAGUUUGUGGAACUUAUGUUAUGACUUUUUCAUUUUAGAUA